AUUGAACGCUGGCGGCAGGCCUAACACAUGCAAGUCGAGCGGAUGAAGGGAGCUUGCUCCUGGAUUCAGCGGCGGACGGGUGAGUAAUGCCUAGGAAUCUGCCUGGCAGUGGGGGAUAACGUCCGGAAACGGGCGCUAAUACCGCAUACGUCCUGAGGGAGAAAGUGGGGGAUCUUCGGACCUCACGCUAUCAGAUGAGCCUAGGUCGGAUUAGCUAGUUGGUGGGGUAAAGGCCUACCAAGGCGACGAUCCGUAACUGGUCUGAGAGGAUGAUCAGUCACACUGGAACUGAGACACGGUCCAGACUCCUACGGGAGGCAGCAGUGGGGAAUAUUGGACAAUGGGCGAAAGCCUGAUCCAGCCAUGCCGCGUGUGUGAAGAGGGUCUUCGGAUUGUAAAGCACUUUAAGUUGGGAGGAAGGGCAGUAAGUUAAUACCUUGCUGUUUUGACGUUACCAACAGAAUAAGCACCGGCUAACUUCGUG
rnacentral:rRNA from 1 species